rnacentral:rRNA from 1 species
AACACCAUAGGACAGGCCGUCCCAUAUGAAAAGAUUAUAUUAGAAUUGAAUGAAGCUUCGUUUAUAUAUUGAUAAUGACAGUAUAUAUAUCGUGUCUUGACUAAUUGCGUGCCAGCAGUCGCGGUACUACGUAAGAGACUAGUGUUAUUCAUCUUAAUUAGGUUUAAAGGGUACCCAGACGGUCAAUAUAGCUUAUAAAAUGUUAGUACUUGACUAGAGUUUUAUGUAAGAGGGCAGUACUUGAGGAGGAGAGAUGAAAUUUCGUGAUACCAAAGGGACUCUGUAAAGGCGAAGGCAGCCCUCUAUGUAAAAACUGACGUUGAAGGACGAAGGCACAGAGAACUAACAGGAUUAGAUACCCUAGUAGUCUUUGCAGUAAAUGAUGAAUGCCAUAGGUUAGAUGGGUGGGUUAGUCGUAGUUGAGUUAGUUUAGCAAACUAAUGGAUUCAGACUAGUCCACAAUAUAUUUGGUCUAUAAAUGAAAGUGUAAGCAUUUCACCUCAAGAGUAAUGUGGCAACGCAGGAACUGAU